AACGAACGCUGGCGGCAUGCCUAACACAUGCAAGUCGAACGAGACCUUCGGGUCUAGUGGCGCACGGGUGCGUAACGCGUGGGAACCUGCCCUUAGGUUCGGAAUAACUCCCCGAAAGGGGUGCUAAUACCGGAUAAUGUCUUCGGACCAAAGAUUUAUCGCCUUUGGAUGGGCCCGGGUUGGAUUAGCUAGUUGGUAGGGUAAAAGCCUACCAAGGCGACGUUCCAUAGCUGGUCUGAGAGGAUGAUCAGCCACACUGGGACUGAGACACGGCCCAGACUCCUACGGGAGGCAGCAGUGGGGAAUAUUGGACAAUGGGCGAAAGCCUGAUCCAGCAAUGCCGCGUGAGUGAUGAAGGCCUUAGGGUUGUAAAGCUCUUUUACCCGGGAUGAUAAUGACAGUACCGGGAGAAUAAGCUCCGGCUAACUCCGUG
rnacentral:rRNA from 1 species